UACGUAGGGUGCAAGCGUUAAUCGGAAUUACUGGGCGUAAAGCGUGCGCAGGCGGUUAUGCACGACAGAUGUGAAAUCCCCGGGCUCAACCUGGGAACUGCAUUUGUGACUGCAUAGCUAGAGUACGGUAGAGGGGGAUGGAAUUCCGCGUGUAGCAGUGAAAUGCGUAGAUAUGCGGAGGAACACCGAUGGCGAAGGCAAUCCCCUGGACCUGUACUGACGCUCAUGCACGAAAGCGUGGGGAGCAAACAGG
rnacentral:rRNA from 1 species